GCUGUAUGCGGCCUGCCCAGCUGUGCCCCGUGCAUUCUGAAGGUGAUGCUGGGGGUCAGCCUGCCGGUGGGGCCCCAGGGAGCCGCGUUCCCUCCCGAGCGGACGGGUGCAGCCAGGAGAGGGUGUGGCGACGAAGGCACUUGGGGGCAGGGGCAGGAUGGCCUGUGCACCUGGCCGCCCCUCGGAAAGGCCUUCGCUGCAAAGGUGCCUGGGAAGUGAGCGUGAGUGUGGAUGUGCAAGGAGGCCGCGGUGCCCCGCAAAGCCAGGCUUGCCUACUGAGCACCGAGCACCGUCGGCACCCAGCAAAACAGACGCCGGGAGCCAGGAUGUGGCCACACUCAGGAAUGUGGAAUGAUGGGAAAUGUCCACAGCUCGGCGGGCGGGAACCAGACAACGCGGCACAAAAGAAGGAGGAAAGAAAGGAUUUUGAGGCAACCCCAGAUUAAACGAAAGCUCAUCCUGUGUCCUUCUUCAGGUUGCGAGGGCAGGCCAGCCCGGGCCUAACUGUAAGGUUGCGUGCUAUUCCUCACAACGGUGGGGGGGGGGGGAAAGAAAUCACCCUUAUUUUUAGAAAUGAGCAGGCUUUUGUGUUGGGGCCUUGGGUCACGUGUUUGCCAGGAGAUUUUUUUUUUUUAAUGGCGUUAAAAAAAAAACCAAAAAGGGUUCUCAAACCUGCCAGCGACAGGCCUCACGCUGACCGCGGGUCUCUCGACCUCCUGGAGCCCAUCUUCCCACCUGUGAAAUGGGACGAUGGCCUCUGACCCCCACCUCCCAGAACUGUGCCAAGAAUCAGGUGAGGACAGACACUUCCCAAACUGUAGAGUCUUCUAGAAUGCCAGCACCUCUGCCUUUAAGCACCACCGGGGGAACAGGCAAGCCGAGUGGAGUCGGGAACCAGCCGAGCGGAGUCGAAACCGAAUGGAGUCCGGUUUGCCGAGUCCCCAAAGCUGCUGGUCCGGUGGCUCUGCUCUGAAGAGAGCAGAUCCUGAGGGUUGCCCUCGAGUUUGACAAAAGACCUAAGUUUUUACGGCCACAGACCACCCUUUGUACAACGGAAACGAGCCAAUCGGGAAGGACAAUCCAGUGCCCAGAGCUGUCAAGCCAGUAAGGGUAGAACCUGAGAAGGAACCAGGAGGCAGGGAAGGGGGCGCUGACCAGAACGUUAUAAAACGAGGACCCUGGGUGGCUCAUUGGGUUGGGCGUCUGACCUCGG